ensembl:processed_transcript Gm12526 predicted gene 12526
AUACAAGAAUGUGUGCUGUAAGACUGCACAGCCUGGAGUUCUGGUGGGAGAGGCGACAGGGAAGAGGACAGAUGACUCAUUUUGGAAACGUCUGCUUGUCACUGUUCCCGCCUGAGUGGGCCGUGUGCUGCCUUCCUGCUGACAUCACUGGAAAUCUUGAGCCUAAAUCAAAGCUGUGCCCUGUGCCUCCGUGACCUUUCUCUACAAUGCACAGUGGGGCUGGACUCCUCAAAGCUCAGAAUAUUCACAUCUGCUGCACUGACCCCGUGGAGGUUACUGCUUGGACACACGCGUUCAUAAAUGCCCUACAGCAGGCCCAUGGGAAAUCAAGACAUAUUCGGGCUCUCCAAAACUUCCUCAGGGCAGGUGAGAUGGCUCCACCGGCAAAGGUCCUUAGAGCCAAGCCUGGCAUCAUGGAAGGAGAGAACUGUUUCCUCCGGCUCGGCCUCCGACCGCCACACUCGUGUUCUGGUGUAUUACACGCCCACACACUCACACUCUCAUUCACACAAAAUGGACAUACAUUUUAAAAGCUUUCCUUAAUCUGCUUCCAGAUUUCAGGAAACCCCGUGUCCGUUGUAGAGCGAGGCCAGCAGGGCAGAGCUGAGCCUGCUC